CACGUUAAAACACCGGUUCCCAUGGGAUCUCCGAAGUUAAGCAACGUCGAUCUUGUUCAGUAGCUCUAUGGGUGACUGCUUGUGAAUACCACGUGGUUGGA